rnacentral:rRNA from 1 species
AUGGUAGACUAUCUGACUCUAGAUGUUCACAGGUUCCUUACUAGUCCCACUCACCACAGAGACGAACCACAAACAAAUAUGAGAACAACAGUAAUAUGGCAGUACCGGGAAACAACUCAAACAAGGUAUCCAACUCAGAUCUAUUUGUCUAGUCGAUACAAACAUGAAAUAACGAGAGCUUGGUUGAAUCACCACCUUUCGUCAGCACUUACAUGCCAAUUAAUGCAAUUAAUUAGUACCUCAUGGUCUGAAUUUCAGACUCUCAAAGGCCCAAACCUCGCUGUAUCCGUACCUGGUUUGCCGCACGGUCCAAAUCACUUGCCGUUGAAGCUGUCGUAUCGCCGUCGUCGUCACCGCCCUCGUUGUCCUUGUAUGCACCUCGGAGUCGAUGGCUACGUCGGGAAUUGA